GUUUGAUCCUGGCUCAGAGCGAACGCUGGCGGCGUGGAUUAGACAUGCAAGUCGAGCGCUCCUCCGAUUUAUCGGGGGAUAGCGGCGAACUGGUGAGUAACACAUGGGUAACUUGCCCUCAAGACGGGGAUAACUCCGAGAAAUCGGAGCUAAUACCCGAUAAUUUCUGUAAUCGCAAGGUAGCAGGACAAAAGGUUCUCUGAAUAUUUAGGGUUCUGCUUGAGGAUAGGCCCGCGUCUUAUCAGCUUGUUGGUGAGGUAAUGGCUCACCAAGGCUGUGACGAGUAGCUGGUCUGAGAGGACGAUCAGCCACACGGGGACUGAGACACGGCCCCGACUCCUACGGGAGGCAGCAGUCGAGAAUCUUCCCCAAUGGGCGAAAGCCUGAGGGAGCGACGCCGCGUGGGGGAUGAAGGUCUUCGGAUCGUAAACCCCUGUCAGGGAGGAUGAAAUCCGAUUUAUCGGAAUGACAGUACUCUCAGAGGAAGCCACGGCUAACUCCGUGCCAGCAGCCGCGGUAAUACGGAGGUGGCGAGCGUUGCUCGGAUUUACUGGGCGUAAAGGGUGCGUAGGCGGCCAAAUAAGUCAUUCGUGAAAUCCCCUGGCUCAACCAGGGAAUUGCGGAUGAAACUGUUUGGCUUGAGGCCGAGAUAGGAAGGUAGAAUUCCCGGUGUAGCGGUGAAAUGCGUGGAUAUCGGGAGGAAUACCAGUGGCGAAGGCGGCCUUCUGGCUCGGUUCUGACGCUGAGGCACGAAAGCUGGGGUAGCGAACAGGAUUAGAUACCCUGGUAGUCCCAGCUGUAAACGAUGGGCACUGGGUGUUUCUGGCGUAAUGCUAGGGGUGCCGUAGUUAACGCGUUAAGUGCCCCGCCUGGGGACUACGGUCGCAAGACUGAAACUCAAAGGAAUUGACGGGGGCCCGCACAAGCGGUGGAGCACGUGGUUUAAUUCGAUGCUAACCGAAGAACCUUACCCGGAUUUGACAUACCAGAAGUACUCCGAUGGAAACGUUGGGGGACCGGUAACCAAUCCGGUACUGGUACAGGUGUUGCAUGGCUGUCGUCAGCUCGUGCCGUGAGGUGUUGGGUUAAGUCCCGCAACGAGCGCAACCCCCGCCUUUAGUUGCUAACAGGUGCCGAUUACUCGGGAUGCUGAGCACUCUAGAGGGACUGCCCGGGAUAACCGGGAGGAAGGUGGGGCUGACGUCAAGUCGGUAUGGCCUUUAUGUCCGGGGUGACACACGUGCUACAAUGGCUGGAACAGAGGGAUGCCAACCUGCAAAGGGGAGCUAAUCUCAAAAAUCCAGCCUCAGUUCGGAUCGCAGUCUGCAACUCGACUGCGUGAAGCUGGAAUCGCUAGUAAUCGCCGGUCAGCCAUACGGCGGUGAAUACGUUCCCGGGCCUUGUACACACUGCCCGUCAAGCCAGCUGAAUUGAGUGCACCCGAAGUCGCUGACCCAACCCCGACGUAACGUCGGGGCGGGAGGCGCCGAAGGUGUGCUUGGUAAGGAGGGCUAAGUCGUAACAAGGUAGCCG
rnacentral:rRNA from 1 species